rnacentral:rRNA from 1 species
GUGCCAGCCGCCGCGGUAAUACGGAGGGGGCUAGCGUUGUUCGGAAUUACUGGGCGUAAAGCGCGCGUAGGCGGUUCUUCAAGUCAGAGGUGAAAGCCCGGUGCUCAACAUCGGAAUUGCCUUUGAAACUAGGGAACUUGAAUCCAGGAGAGGUGAGUGGAAUUCCGAGUGUAGAGGUGAAAUUCGUAGAUAUUCGGAAGAACACCAGUGGCGAAGGCGGCUCACUGGACUGGUAUUGACGCUGAGGUGCGAAAGCGUGGGGAGCAAACAGGAUUAGAUACCCUCGUAGUCC